AUAGGGUGAAGCCAGGGGAAACUCUGGUGGAGGCUCGAAGCGAUACUGACGUGCAAAUCGUUCGUCAAAUUUGACUGUAGGGGCGAAAGACUAAUCGAACCAUCUAGUAGCUGGUUCCCUCUGAAAUUUCUCUCAGGAUAGCAGGAACAGAUUAUGCAGUUUUAUCAGGUAAAGCUAAUGAUUAGUGGAAUCGGGGGUCUAGUAUCCUUGACCAAUUCUCAAACUUUAAAUUGGUAAGAACUACGAGUUAUCUUAAUUGAACUCGGAGGUAGAAUGCAUUGUUCUUAGUGGGCCAUUUUUGGUAAGCAGAACUGGCGAUGAGGGAUGAACCUAACGUUGAGAUAAGGUGCCAAAAUUCACGCUCAUGAGAUACCAUAAAAGGUGUUGGUUAGUAUAAACAGCCGG
rnacentral:rRNA from 1 species